rnacentral:rRNA from 1 species
CAGUAGCCGCGGUAAUACGUAGGUGGCAAGCGUUGUCCGGAAUUACUGGGCGUAAAGCGCGCGCAGGCGGUUUCUUAAGUCUGAUGUGAAAGCCCCCGGCUUAACCGGGGAGGGUCAUUGGAAACUGGGAGACUUAGAGUGCAGAAGAGGAGAGUGGAAUUCCAUGUGUAGCGGUGAAAUGCGUAGAUAUAUGGAGGAACACCAGUGGCGAAGGCGACUCUCUGGUCUGUAACUGACGCUGAGGCGCGAAAGCGUGGGGAGCAAACAGGAUUAGAUACCCCAGUAGUCCCUGUCUCUUAUA